ensembl:lncRNA
CAUAUUUUGUCCUUUUUUUCCAAUCCAGUAGGGAAGUGACUAUUUGUUAAGAAGGGUUAUACUUCUUUCUGUCCUAUGAAAAUUCUGCUUAUUUUUCCCUUUUCACUAUUUGGUUAUAAUAAAAUGGGUGCAGUAAAUGUGUUAUUAAACAUUAUAGAGAAGUGAAACAUUGGCAUAAGGGUAAAUACUUCCAAUCAUUAGAUAAAUACAGUUUUAUUGUGAAAGGAUUGCUUUUAAAUGGUUGUUGAGUUGGAGUAAUAUUUUUCAGGAGUACCUGAAAGAGCUUCUAAAAGAAUUUUCAUUUUAAAAGAUGAGAAAGAAAGCUGGAUGCCAGAGGCCUUUUUGCUAGUGAAUAGUUAGCAAAAGAAUUUAGAACUGUCAAAGAAUGUUUGGCACAAAAUUUUUUCUUUCAUAGUGGGGAAAGUAGAGAGGUUUCAUAUUCUGCAAAAAGAAUUCUAUGUAAAGUCUAGUAAUUUCAGUCAAAACUGGAGCAUGUCUAUUACUCUUGAUUUUAUUUAUAACUGUGUAGAAAGAAAAAGCAAGUGUUUGGCAUGCAAUGUGAAAUCUUUUAUGUAGGGGAUCUAAAAUAUUCUAAACUCCUCUUAUACUUUUGUCUUGAGAGAACUUCAGAAAUAUUUUGCAUUUGAAAGGUCACCAAUUAAUUUUAAGUUGGCUUCAGAAGAGUGAACAAGAGUGAGUAGGUAUCAUCACUCAGAGGCAGUAUAUGAAAAUGUUGGCAGUUUCUUUUUACUUUCUCCUUAAUUAGAAAGAACAAAGUUUCUUUUCUUGAAUAGGCACUUAAUAUUGCAUGUAUUCUAUGCAAAUAUGAAAAUAUGCCCCUGUUCUUUAUGUUUUUACAAAAAAAUUUAAAUCAUAUUUCAGUGUCAUUCUAAUCCAGCCUUACAUGAAGACAGAAAACUCGAGUGCUUUGGAAUGACUUUUUGUUUUUAAAUUCUCUAGGGUUGUGUAUCAUACAGAAUACAGACUGCUGUAUGUUAGAAAUUUAUAAUAGGUUUGAUUUUGCAAGGAUUGUUUUUAAUGAGAGAUAUUUUGUUUUUAUUUGCCCAUUUGCUCCUUUUGCUUUAAAUUAUGCUCUUUAAGGUUUUUUGCAAAAACUUUGAACUUUUCAUGUAAGAUUUUCUAAGAAAUUAAAAAGAAAACCCAGACACAUAUUAAUAUUAAUUAUUAUUAUUUAUUGGCUACCUAUAGACUUGAAGGCAGCUUGAAACUUAUUCAAAAAAAUCACCAUGCCUGUUUACAAAGGAUUGCAAAUUUCAAAAGCAAGCAAGAAAGAAAAUAAUUGUCAGCUGGUACAUGAAAGAUGAUAAUGGAACUAUCCUAAGCUAACACCUCAUGCAGAGAAGAAAAGGCAUUCUGAAAAGCGAAGCUUAAUUUUGGAAAUGGCAGAUCACCCAAAAUGAAAUAACUAGGAAAUGUACAUUCUAGCACUCAUCUGAUGAUAGUUUUAUAUCAGAUGUGGGCUUAUUGUAUAUGUGGGUCUGAAAAUUGAUGGGCAGAUUCCAUAGGCAAUUACAAAGACUGCUUCCUGUGGUCUCUAUUCUCCUUCAUUACUCUCUUCAUGUUAGAAAGGAUACUAAAGUGUCACUUAACUCCAAGCAACCAAUAUUUAACCUUUAAAACAACACCUCAUACCACCUACCUUAUUCCUUCGUAGUAUAUUCAUAUGUAUGAUCAAAAAAUUCUAUUCUAGUUGGUGAAAGAAAUGAGCUUGAACUCUGAUAUUAUGAGUGGCUAUAAAAUUAUCCAGCUUUUAAAUCCAACCACAGAAUUUGAUUUUAUGACCUUCUGUGGAACUGUAGCUACAAGUUAACUAAAGGUUAUGAAGUAAUAUUUCCUUUUUAUAGUUCUGAAUUCACUACCUUGUAAUUUCAGAGAUCACCUUGUUCAAUAGUGGGAUAAGCUUUGUAGUAUUAUAAUUUUGUGUAGCUCAAUGAAGAUCUUAGAAUGUUUUCUUUUCCAAAUUCACAUUUAUAUUAUCCUGUGAUAUUGUAUCUAGUUCAUCACUAUUUUAAUUGCUAGAAAUAUAUAUGAGAC